UACGGAGGAUCCAAGCGUUAUCCGGAAUCAUUGGGUUUAAAGGGUCCGUAGGCGGUUUUGUAAGUCAGUGGUGAAAUCCGGCAGCUCAACUGUCGAACUGCCAUUGAUACUGCAGGACUUGAAUUAUUGUGAAGUAACUAGAAUAUGUAGUGUAGCGGUGAAAUGCUUAGAUAUUACAUGGAAUACCCAUUGCGAAGGCAGGUUACUAACAGUGGAUUGACGCUGAUGGACGAAAGCGUGGGGAGCGAACAGG
rnacentral:rRNA from 1 species